rnacentral:rRNA from 1 species
UACGUAGGGUGCGAGCGUUGUCCGGAAUUACUGGGCGUAAAGGGCUCGUAGGUGGCCAACUAAGUCAGACGUGAAAUCCCUCGGCUUAACCGGGGAACUGCGUCUGAUACUGGAUGGCUUGAGUUCGGGAGAGGGAUGCGGAAUUCCAGGUGUAGCGGUGAAAUGCGUAGAUAUCUGGAGGAACACCGGUGGCGAAGGCGGCAUCCUGGACCGACACUGACACUGAGGAGCGAAAGCCAGGGGAGCAACCGGG